CGGGGUGCACCAGGCGCGAAAACUUUACAAUGCUGGAAACAGCGAUAAGGGGACCUCGAGUGCCAGGUUACAAAUCUGGCUGUCGUGAUGCCUAAAAAGCAUUGCAUAGCAAGGGCCGGGCAAGACCGGUGCCAGCCGCCGCGGUAACACCGGCGGCUCGAGUGGUAACCGUUAUUAUUGGGUCUAAAGGGUCUGUAGCCGGCCGGAUAAGUCUCUUGGGAAAUCCAGCAGCUCAGCUGUUGGGCUUUCAGGAGAUACUGUCUGGCUCGAGGCCGGGAGAGAUGAGAGGUACUUCAGGGGUAGGGGUGAAAUCUUGUAAUCCUUGAAGGACCACCAGUGGCGAAGGCGUCUCACCAGAACGGACCUGACGGCAAGGGACGAAAGCUAGGGGCACGAACCGGAUUAGAUACCCGGGUAGUCCUAGCCGUAAACGAUACUCGCUAGGUGUCGGCCACGGUGCGACCGUUGUCGGUGCCGUAGGGAAGCCGUGAAGCGAGCCACCUGGGAAGUACGGCCGCAAGGCUGAAACUUAAAGGAAUUGGCGGGGGAGCACAAGGGC
rnacentral:rRNA from 1 species